rnacentral:rRNA from 1 species
UACGUAGGGCGCGAGCGUUGUCCGGAAUUAUUGGGCGUAAAGAGCUCGUAGGCGGUUUGUCGCGUCUGCUGUGAAAACUCGGGGCUUAACCCCGGGCCUGCAGUGGGUACGGGCAGACUAGAGUGCGGUAGGGGAGACUGGAAUUCCUGGUGUAGCGGUGAAAUGCGCAGAUAUCAGGAGGAACACCGGUGGCGAAGGCGGGUCUCUGGGCCACUACUGACGCUGAGAAGCGAAAGCAUGGGGAGCGAACAGG